rnacentral:siRNA from 1 species
CGGGGGGAGUAUGGUCGCA